CGGCUCCGCCCUGCCCGCCCCUCCCGUGUCCUCCCGCCACGGCCGCGGCCACCAGAGCAGUUUUUGGGUCUCACCAUGAGCUGCUCCCUGGACCUGGAUCAAGCCCCCACCCUGGAUGAGCUGCUGCGGGGCUGCGUCGAUGCCUUUGACGCGCAGGGGAAGGUUCGGGACCCCCAACUCGUCCGGCUCUUCCUGGCGACGCACCCCUGGUACCUCCCCCAGGCUGAGGUGGCCGGGAAGCUGCUGAGCCUA